rnacentral:rRNA from 1 species
UGAGGCAAUAACAGGUCUGUGUGAUGCAACCCGCUGAACUUAAGCAUAUCAAUAAGCACCCGCAGAGGCAAUAACAGGUCUGUGUGAUGCUGAACUUAAGCACAUCAAUAAGCACUCGCUGAGCUUAAGCAUAUCAAUAAGCCUGAGGCAAUAACAGGUCUGUGUGAUGCCCUUAGAUGUUCUGGGCCGCACGCGCGCUACACUGAUACGUUCAACGAGCUCCUUGACCGAGAGGCCCGGGUAAUCUUUGAAACCGUAUCGUGAUGGGGAUAGAACAUUGCAAUUAUUGUUCUUCAACGAGGAAUGCCUAGUAAGCGCGAGUCAUCAUCUCGCGUUGAUUACGUCCCUGCCCUUUGUACACACCGCCCGUCGCUCCUACCGAUUGAACGUGCUGGUGAAGCGUUAGGACUGGAACUUCGGGCAGGUCUCCUGCUCAUUGUUUCGGGAAUUUCGUUGAACCCUCCCGUUUAGAGGAAGGAGAAGUCGUAACAAGGUCUCCGUAGGUGAACCUGCGGAGGGAUCAUUGAAACCGAUCAAACCAACCCCAGAGCACUUGUGGGCGCCGCGCCUCCCCCGGGGGGGAGCGGCGUCCGCCGUUUUCGGAACCGCCGGUGAGGUGCGCUCCCCCGGGGGCGCGCCCCUGCCGUGCGGGGCCCUAACCCAUGAAACCUUCUGCCCUGAAGCAGCUUCGUACGGGGACACCCCUGCGAUCUAACUGAGACAACUCUCAACAACGGAUAUCUAGGCUCUCGCAACGAUGAAGAACGCAGCGAAAUGCGAUACGUAGUGUGAAUUGCAGAAUUCCGUGAGUCAUCGAAUCUUUGAACGCAAAUUGCCGGUCGAGUCUUCGGACGAGACCACAUCUGCCUCAGCGUCGGGAUACCCCCCUCACGCCGCUCGCGAGAGCGGGCCGUGGACCUGGCCCCCCCGGUCCUUGCGGCCGGGCUGGCUGAAGUACAGAGGUUCGUGCGCGGCCCAUUCGCGGCCCCGACUAGGUAGGUUGCUCGCAACUUCUAGGCGGAGGCUCGGUGCCGUGUGCUAUGAGCCACGAAGGAUACUAACUUUCCAUUCGACCUGAGUUCAGGUGAGGCUACCCGCUGAACUUAAGCAUAUCAAUAAGCAAGGGCGAUCCAAUCGA